UAUCUCUUUCUAUAUGUGAUAGGUUUAACAUGUUCUUGUCCACAUGUUUUGGAUUACCUAAUUUCGGAUCAUGAUAAAGUCUAGGUGGGUCCUUCUGCCUCCAAUUUUAUACCUGCUGCUAUAAUAUAAAGCCAGCCAGUCCGCCCCAAUCCGAGUUAGAACUUGCCACCAAAAUACCCAAAAAAAAAAAAAAAAAAAAAACAGUUGUAUGUCAAAUGGGAGGGGCUCCGUACUUGUCUACUAUAAUUCUCAUCCAUGCCCUACUUCUGCUUCCAUGUUGUAGUUAUGGAGGCAGAACUAACAUCGGAGCUGCUUCUUUAUCUUCCUUGGAUCCAAUGCCUGGCUAUUUUAUUUCUUCUAGAUUGGGAGUGGUAGUAGUACUUGAUAGGAAGGCUGGCAGAGGUGGAGUGUUUCCAUCAUCUCCGAUACACAAUCCUCCUGUCCAUUUUAAAAGUCCUCCACCUGCACCAAAAAGGCCACCUCCGCCUCCACCGCCAUCGCCAACAGAACCAUCAUCACCGUGUCCGCCGGAACACUAAUGCCAAUGAAGAACAGGAUUUUAAGUUUAUCUGAAUGUAAUGUUCAGAAUUCAGAUACUAAUACUUUGGCAGAGACCAUAGUCAAUCAGAGCCCAGUAAACCUACAAGUCAGACUUUUCAAAGUAUAUGUAAAUCAUUUGCUGACUGUACAAUCAUAUAUAGUAGGGAAUAUAAUUAUCAAUUUGCAUC